GUCCCUUUGUUUGCUUCUCUCUCUUGUCUCGUUCAAGGCAGCUUGGGUCACUGACCUCAGCCACUUUCUGAGAACCCCGCACUGGUCGCCUGUGUAGACGUUUUUCUGGAAAAUGCAUGCACUGUACCAUCCAGCAGGGCGUCAGAAGGUGUGAGUUGGGGAAGAAAAACAACACACACACACACAAAGAAGGCAGCUUGGGUCACUGACCUCAGCCACUUUGUGAGAACUCAGCACUGAUCGCCUAUGUAGAGGUUUUCCUGGAAAAUGCAUGGACUGUACCAUCCAGAAGUGCGUCGGAAGGUGUGAAUUGGGGAAGAAAAACAACACACACACAAAAACAAACAAACAAAAGAAUGCAGCCUGGGUCACUGACCUCAGCCACUUUCUGAGAAGUCCACACUGGUCGCCUAUGUAGACGUUUUCCUGGAAAAUGCAUGGACUGUACCAUCCAGCAGGCAUCAGAAGGUGUGAAUUGGGGAAAAAAAAACAAAACACACACAAAAGCAAAAAAAAAAAAAAGGCAGCAGCCUGGGUCACUGACCUCAGCCACUUUCUGAGAAGUCCACACUGGUCUCCUAUGUAGACGUUUUCCUGGAAAAUGCAUGGACUGUACCAUCCAACAGUGCAUCAGAAGGUGUGAAUUGGGGAAGAAAAACAACACACACACAAAAACAAAAAAAAAGAAGGCAGCCUGGGUCACUGACCUCAGCAACUUUCUGAGAACUUGGCACUGGUCUUCUAUGUUGACGUUUCCUGGAAAAAUACGUGGACUGUACCAUCCAGCAGCGCGUCAGAAGGUGUGAAUUGGGGAAGAAAAACAAACACAAACGCAAGCAACAACACCAACAACAACAAAAAAAAACAAAAAGCCCUGACUGGAUUCCCUCCACACUAGAUAGAAAAGCAUAUGCGUGUCUCAUAAGUGCCUGAGCUAGUAAAAGUCUUCUUCUGAAUUAGCUGACGUUGCACAAGUAAAGAAGAGCGUAGAGGUGAGGGUAAGAAAGGAAAGCCACGGAAGGCUUGCAUUAGGCUGCAGAUGUUUUAAUGAAGUGCCAGAAAAGAGUACUCUAUUGAAACCAACAGGUUUUUAUUGGCCAAAAGGAUUGGUGAAAAUAAUUUUCAAGUUGAAAAAAAACUAGUUUUACCCUUAGUUGGCUUUUUUUGUACAGACUUGCCUGCCAAGUGGCGACAUUUUGCAAUGCGUUGGUAUAAGCAAUUAUUCCAUCAUUGCUCGGAUUAAGCACCAUUGCUGCCCUGCCUGCAAGCGUCCCCACCUCCCACCCCCCCCCCCCCCCCGGGGGGCCCUAUUUUUUAUGGCUCAAAAUAUGGUGCCUCUUUAUGUAAAUCAUACAUGUAGAGAGUGCACCUGAGAGCGUUGCCUACCGUGUGCCCACCUGAAGCUAUUUGAUUCAGGCCAACUUGAAAAUUCUCCAGUUUGUAAAAGUUUAAUUUAUUGUUUCAUUUGGACUAUUUUUACAUAUUUAUCCUCUUCAUUUUGUCCUGAUAAUGUGUAAUAUCUAUUCUUGUCACCCUUUGGGAAAGGUUGCAUUUCUGGAGGUGAUGAGACAGGGAGAGAGCAUUGGGAAGAGAAAAGCCACGAUUUUUAAAAAAUGCUCUUUGUCAAGCUCAUGAUUGCAUUUGAUCCCAAAUCAAGGUGAAUGUAUACAAUGGGAUGUACAUAAAUUAUUUUUGUUCAUGCCUAGACUAGUGCUACAUAGUGGUGUUUUUCUUUUUUAUUUUGUUUAAUGACAAAAUAAUCUCUUAAUACAUUGAAAUUGAGCACGUGAGAUUUUAUGUUUGAAAGAUAAAGACACAGCAUGUAUAAUUAUGCACUUCAUUUCUCUGCUGUGUGGAGAAAGCAAUAAACAUUAUGAGAAUGUUAAACAUUAUGCAAAAUUAUACUUUUUUAAAUAUUUGUUUUAAAAUUACUGUACCUAGUUUUUUUUUUGCAUUACUUUGUAACCUUUUUUCUAUGCAAAAGUCUACAUAUCACUAAUUAAAUGAAGUCCUUUUUGACUAUUUUUAUGUGGAUGAGUUGCUUUGCAGAAUAGAAGGUUGACAUGAAUUUCAAGCAAGGCCUUCCUUCACUAACAACUUAAGCCGUGGCUUUUCUUUUUCUCUUUCAGAGUCAUUUAAUAUAAUUCACAGCUUGCCUGAAAAUAACAUUUAUCUGAGCUUGUAAAUCAAUUAAGCAUAGGCGGGUAUGACGUUAUUUGGAGACAGGAAGUGAUCAGUUUCCUCUGCCUUUUAUUCUCAACCAUGUUCUUGGAAGAAAAGUGCAAAUACAAGAACUCCAAAUAAUAGUAAACUGAACCUAGGAUAAUAAGCUAGAAUGUGUCAUACAUUUUAUAACUCAAAAAUGUUUGUAGAGGGUUUUUAAAACAUCACAUGCAUACAUGAUUAAGCAUACACAUGCUUCCUGAUGGUAAAUCCUCUGUACCUACCUCAAUGAAACUUUUUUUUUUGAUGCUGUAGAAAUUAUGCACAUAUCUCUCCUUCUUCGAUGAAGCCUAGAAGAGAUUAUUUCAGUUCCUGAAGCUAUUGGGCCAAACAUGAAAAAAGAAUAAUAAAAAAAAAA
rnacentral:lncRNA from 1 species